rnacentral:rRNA from 1 species
GGCGGGUUAGAGUAUGGCAGAGGGGGGUAGAAUUCCACGUGUAGCAGUGAAAUGCGUAGAGAUGUGGAGGAAUACCGAUGGCGAAGGCAGCCCCCUGGGCCAAUACUGACGCUCAUGCACGAAAGCGUGGGGAGCAAACAGGAUUAGAUACCCUGGUAGUCCACGCCCUAAACGAUGUCAACUAGUUGUCGGGUCUUCAUUGACUUGGUAACGUAGCUAACGCGUGAAGUUGACCGCCUGGGGAGUACGGUCGCAAGAUUAAAACUCAAAGGAAUUGACGGGGACCCGCACAAGCGGUGGAUGAUGUGGAUUAAUUCGAUGCAACGCGAAAAACCUUACCUACCCUUGACAUGUAUGGAACCCUGCCGAGAGGUGGGGGUGCCCGAAAGGGAGCCAUA